rnacentral:rRNA from 1 species
GACGGGGGGUCCAAGCGUUGUUCGGAAUCAUUGGGCGUAAAGCGGGCGUAGGUGGUCUUGCAAGUCAGGAGUGAAAGCCCUGGGCUCAACCCAGGAAGUGCUUUUGAAACUGCAAGACUUGAAUGUGGGAGAGGGUAGUAGAAUUCCUGGUGUAGUGGUGAAAUACGUAGAUAUCAGGAGGAACACCGGUGGCGAAGGCGGCGACCUGGUCCUAUACUGACACUCAUACACGAAAGCGUGGGGAUCAAACAGG